UACGAAGGGGGCUAGCGUUGCUCGGAAUCACUGGGCGUAAAGGGCGCGUAGGCGGCCUGAUAAGUAGGGGGUGAAAUCUUGCGGCUCAACCGCAAGGCUGCCUUCUAAACUGUCAGGCUGGAGCACGGUAGAGGCAGAUGGAAUUCCCGGUGUAGCGGUGGAAUGCGUAGAGAUCGGGAAGAACACCAGUGGCGAAGGCGGUCUGCUGGGCCGUUGCUGACGCUGAGGCGCGACAGCGUGGGGGAGCAAACAGG
rnacentral:rRNA from 1 species